ACUCCUGCGGGAGGCAGCAGUGGGGAAUUUUGGACAAUGGGCGAAAGCCUGAUCCAGCAAUGCCGCGUGAGUGAAGAAGGCCUUCGGGUUGUAAAGCUCUUUUGUCAGGGAAGAAACGGUGAAAGCUAAUAUCUUUUGCUAAUGACGGUACCUGAAGAAUAAGCACCGGCUAACUACGUGCCAGCAGCCGCGGUAAUACGUAGGGUGCAAGCGUUAAUCGGAAUUACUGGGCGUAAAGCGUGCGCAGGCGGUUUUGUAAGUCUGAUGUGAAAUCCCCGGGCUCAACCUGGGAAUUGCAUUGGAGACUGCAAGGCUAGAAUCUGGCAGAGGGGGGUAGAAUUCCACGUGUAGCAGUGAAAUGCGUAGAUAUGUGGAGGAACACCGAUGGCGAAGGCAGCCCCCUGGGUCAAGAUUGACGCUCAUGCACGAAAGCGUGGGGAGCAAACAGGAUUAGAUACCCCAGUAGUCCCAUG
rnacentral:rRNA from 1 species